rnacentral:rRNA from 1 species
GACGAACGCUGGCGGCGUGCUUAACACAUGCAAGUCGAACGGUGAAAGCGGAGCUUGCUCCGCUGGAUCAGUGGCGAACGGGUGAGUAACACGUGGGCAACCUGCCCCUCACUUCGGGAUAACUCCGGGAAACCGGGGCUAAUACCGGAUAUGACCUCCUUGGGCAUCCUUGGAGGUGGAAAGUUUUUCGGUGAGGGAUGGGCCCGCGGCCUAUCAGCUUGUUGGUGAGGUAGUGGCUCACCAAGGCGACGACGGGUAGCCGGCCUGAGAGGGGGAACGGCCACACUGGGACUGAGACACGGCCCAGACUCCAACGGGAGGCAGCAGUGGGGAAUAUUGCGCAAUGGACGAAAGUCUGACGCAGCGACGCCUCGUGAGGGACGAAGGUCUUCGGAUUGUAAACCUCUUUCAGCAGGGACGAAGCGAAAGUGACGGUACCUGCAGAAGAAGCACCGGCUAACUAUGUGCCAGCCGCCGCUGUAA